UACUUUUUCCUCUUGUUUUCAUUUCUGAUUCUAGACAUUCAAUUUUUUCCCAUUGGCUGGUUCCUCCUAAUAUGUCUAAUAAUGUACGUGCUUGUCACAAUACGAUUACAACAAUUUUUCCAUGCUCAGUUCAUACUUGACUAUUCUUCAAAAUUCUUUGUUUAUCUAUUCUUGUUUCUUUUUACAGGGGGGUGUAAGCAGAGAUACCAACCAUCAAAAUUCAGAGAGCAAUAUCAUCAUUGAAGACCUGGACCAAACUUUUCAUGGCAAUGUUUCUGAAGUUGAGGCCUCUAAUAUUGAUUUAACAGAAACGGAUGCAUCAGAUGGCAUGUUGCUUGAUGGUAUCAGAAAAUGCUGCAAAAGAGUGAUGAGAGUAAACAUGGGAGGAAUGUUUUGAAGGAGCAAAGCAGGAAGAUGGGAACAACCCAAGAAUGUUUGAAUAAAGGAAGAGCAAGUGCGUAUAUCAGAUUUAGCAUAGGGUGUUCUUCCAAGAUAGUCGACAGUGUUUGCAAAAGCAAUUACAGAAUGGAGCUUGUGAAGAACUCUGGAUUCAAGCAAUUUUGCCAAGGCCUACAUCUGGUCCCAAGCUUUUUUUUUACAACAAACAAACAAAUUAAGCCCACAAACACAAGGCCUAGGCUCAGGAAACUUGCCGAGAGUGUGGGGUGGUGGAGGGGGAGAGGGACGGCCCAGCCCUGGAAGCGUCCAACAAAAAAGGACGAGCAAUGACAAACAAUCGAACGACUGGGUGACAAACAAUCGAACAACAAAACAAGAACAGGGGCGAUCGGGAGGCUACAAACAGGAUGAUGUCAUGUUAGAUGUGACAUAAUUAUGUCACAUCUAGAUGUGUCCUAGACGGACCCUUAGUUUUUUGAUGAUCUAAUUUCACUCGUUGGUUGACUGUUUGACGUGUGAAGAUAUGAGACAGAAAAGAAGAGGACGAAUUUAGACGAAGAAUUGGGUCAGGGGGAACAAGAGUUUAUUUCCUCGGUUAGUUGCUGGGUCAUCUAUCUCGUUGACUAUCAAGGUUAUGUUACUUCCCACUCCCUUUUUUGGUUUCUUCCUGUUGGAAGUGAUGUGGCAUGAAUCUUUCUUUGUCACCCUUUGGAUAUGUGUUCUUAUGAAAGUUAGCGAUUGGAGUUUCUCUGUUAUGUCAGUACAUGUUGCUGCUUUCAGGUUGUUUAAUUAUUUUAUACGGAACACGUUGGCGUUAUAUGGAGAAGAGGCAUAUAUAUGAUUCUUUGCGUAUUUGCAGUGCCGUGAUUGCAGAGAGGUAAAAGAUAAAUCCAGAGAAGAUAAAAAGGAAAGGACAGAGGAUGCCCAGGAAAAUGAUGCUUAGAUGGUUACAGUUGCAGUGUACAGGUGGGAGCUAAACUGAAGCUUGCUGGUUGUGACGUGUCAGCCAUAAACUUGUAUUAUGACCAUUGUUUAUCCGGCUCAAAAACAGAGGCUGUUCCGUCUUCUCCUAAUCCAGACAAGCUGGCCCCUCUUCAUUGGUGCCCGUAGUAAAUUCAAAUUUGGUAGUGACACUGCAUGCCUAAAACUCUCCUGUAGGUUGGUUCAUUGAUUUAGAUUGAUAUAAUUGUCCAAGAAGCCAAUUAAUUGA